rnacentral:tRNA from 2 species
GGCGGAUGUAGCCAAGUGGAUCAAGGCAAUGGAUU